UUUCCGUAGGGGAACCUGCGGAAGGAUCAUUCAUAAUAAAGUGUUUUAUGGCACUUUUUAAAAAUCCAUAUCCACCUUGUGUGCAAUGUUAGAUCUCGUCAAUCUUGGCGAGAUUUUUAUACAUCAACUCAUUCUUUAACUAAUUUGUCUGAAAAAUAUUAUGAAUACUUAAUUCAAAAUACAACUUUCAACAACGGAUCUCUUGGCUCUC
rnacentral:misc_RNA from 1 species